AACGAAAAGCGCAUCAAACUCCAAGUCGCUCAUUUGCCUCACCCACACCAGUCCGUCGUGCGUCAGUGUGGAGGAGGAUUACUCCGAUAAGAAGAGCUGCCGAUGAUGUACAGCCAGGAGGGGCUGAACUACUUAGCAGUCUUUGGAGGCCAAUCCGGCAAGAAAUGGGAGUUCUUGUUUGCCUUGUAACGGAUAGCUUAUCUGCGCCUUGGCACUUCAACGGAAAAGCCAAAAUUAAUAAUUAGUCAGUAAGCGAAUACUCUUCCGUGGCGUUGGGAGCUCCCGGGCAUAACAGUAGCACUAGUAGUAGGGAAAAUCCUAUCUUAGAAGUCUGCGAGUGAGUAUAUUCGCGUUCAACGAUACCGAGUCUCGGCUACAACGCACCAGUAGUAUAGUAGGGCACGAAGCUGGAAUUGGUCGAACAUGUUGUCGGCCGAGUUUCUGUGUCGUCUAUGAGCGCAACGUCUACAUGACUUUGUACUGUUUAUCGUUGCUUGCUCCUGAACCGCAUUACGGCAGCUUUUGUUACUUACACAACGGUAGCGGACGGGGCACGCUUUCCGAAAAUGUCUCGUCAAUGAGUGAAGGAAAGGGAUGCCAGCGCUUUGGCUUCGUAACAUUACUGCCACCCAGAACGUAUGUGGACAGGUCUGAGUCAGGCGAGACCACAGCACUAUCUUACGUCAACGCCAGCAACACUUGCCCGUCUGUGAAAAGGUCCAACAUCAGAGGGGUUACCCUGGUAUCCCUAGUGCACAUGGGGAGGCCUUAUAGCAUGCAUGUCUGACCCAAUGACAGACAUGUCACUGAGUACUUGACCAGGACACCAUCUCUCUGCACAACCUGUGGAUUGUGCAGUGCCUGCUUCAAUACCUGGCUGCCAUAACCAGUAUGUGUGAGUGCACCUUCUUCCACACUGCCAGAUCACCUGACCCAUCAUGAUCCGCCGUGAGAGUAAGCGAAAGUGCUGCCAUCUUCGAAGAAAAUAGAUUGUACAGUUACGAGGUCAAUCAAAUGCCAAGUCCUCAGGAAGAAAAUACACUCCAAUAUUGCCACCGACCUGAAACACUGAUCGCACCGGUUGCAUUGACUGAAACAAUACUGUACCCCAACAAGUGGAUCGGUCUGCAGCCUGGGGUUGUGCCAUCAUCACAGAUGCCGAUGGCGAUGAUGACGGCGACGAUGAUGACGACGACGAUGACGACGACGAUGAUGACGACGACAGGACCUGUGCACAAUCAUGGACUGCCAGAUCACUGCCUGCGCUGCGCAGGCAACAGGGUAUCGUCUGGUUUCCAGCUGUUCCUGGAUGGGCAGCUGGAGGACAUCAGGACAUUUGUGGUGCUUGCAACCAGAGUCGCUAAAUGUCCUGUCACUAACCUCGCACAUUUGCGAUGCACUGGUAGACUCACCCGGCACCUCUUCCCGGUGCUCCAAAUGCCAAUCUUGUCGUUCUGUGCGCUGACACCGGACCAAUCGUCUACCACCAGCAGUCGCAUAUCCUCCUGCACACUAUACCUCCACCGGAGGCAGGGUCCAUGAGCUGGGCGGGUCUGAGAGAGCCAUGCAAAUAGUGUAACUGCUUUGGCGUCCGGUCUCGCGGCAUCCGCACGAUAUGGCUCAACCACGCACUGGAGCUGUAGUCUAGUGGAAAUAUCCGACGCGGCCAAGUCUGGCUCACCUCAUCGAGAUUUCGGAGAUCAGCAUUGGUGACUUGAUCAUGUCCAGGUCCCAUUGUGAUGCUCAAAGUACAGCCCUGAGGCACUGGUGGUGAAAACUGUCCGGUCGCUGCUCAUCACGAUGAAGAUGCGGCCGGCUUCCAGCGCCAUUCAGCAGCAACGUGGUGACACGGGUCCUAUAGAGCGCGCGUUUUGUGAAAAUAUUCUAGAUCAUGUAGUCGUUCGUCUCUUUUUCUCUCUCCCCUCACCGUUUACCCCAAUACAAAUGUCGGCACCAACCUACCUCCUUGUACGUUGUGUACUCAGUUCUGCCCUGCGCAGCGCCUGUUUACUCUCAGCACAUUGGGUAGUGUCAACAUGGUUCUAGAGAGGCCACUGGCACCGCCUGCAUUCCGGAAUCACUGCAGGCCAGUUCGAUGGCUGGUCUCUGAAAUCAGUUUUUGCAUGCAGCGUCUCGUACAGUGUAUUCUAAACUUGUUGAACUUUUUUAAGAAGUUGAGGUCAAUAGACAGUGGGACGUCACAACUGUUCAGCAAGGAGUCGGAAAAUACCGGUAUUUUUCAAAUCCCUGAUGAACAGCAUCACGUGAAAAGUAACUUUAAUUUUAAUACUGGUAAUAUUCACAUCUGGGAUUUUUUAUUUGGUGAACACCUCAACUCUCGCCAUCCGCACAUACGAUUCACAGUGGAAUACACAUGCCCCGCCAAUUCUCACACGAUCAGUUAUUUGGACCUGUCCAUAUCGUGCUCCAGUGGUAAGCUGGGUUGGGAGCUGUUUGUCAGGCCGUCUCAUAGUGGUGUACACUUGUCGUACCUGUCGUCUUUGCCGUUAGACACCAAAAUCGCUGUAGCGAACAACCAGUUCAGCAGAGCAAUCGCCAACUCGACAACAGAAGAUGGACGUCACAGAAGCAUCACCAAGAUAAUAACGUCACUCAAGAACAACCACUAUCCCACUGCGAUCAUCCAAUCAGCCAUACAGCACGCCAUACAAAGACACCAAGGCACCACAUCACAGCGGAGUAGUCACCAUCUCAUUCAAGCGCAACUGGAGAAAGAGAAAAAGAAAUACAGAUCCAUCAUCAAGAUGCCAUACAUCCGAGCAAUGAGAGGCUUGCUAACAAUGUCCGAAAAAUCGUCAGAUCAUUCAAUUCAGUAAAGACGUGCGUGUUAUCUUCACGUCCGGACGUUCGUUGCGUGAUAUGUUGAUGUUGUCGUCACUCAACCGGCCUAUUUGCCCAUGAACGGUACAGCGGCAGAAGAAGAAUAAGAGGGGAAGGAGCAGGCCUGCUGCCGGAGUGUCGUGGACGUGAUGCUGGCCUUCAACGGAAUACAUCAUGGUGGUAACAGUUAUGUCUAAGGAUGUUGUGUAUUUGUUGAGGUGUGCUGUCUGUGAUGAGGCAUAUGUCGGUGAGACUGAGCGGACGGUGAGAAAACGCAGCGAGGAGCACCAUGGGUAGGCGAAGAAUGCCACACAGGGAAAGCCUUGGGGUCAACAUUACCGGAAGAAACGCCACAUUUUCCCCGACGGUCAUCUUUGCCAUUCUCCCAAGCCUCGAUUCUCGCCCAGAGGCAGAGAUCCUACGUAGACCGCCGAAUCGUGGAGGCCCUCUUCACAGAGGAAACCGGCGGUGAAUAUGGACGAGGGCUGGUGUUUGUUGGGCGGUGUUUACAUGGUUUAGGUGCUUAGGCGUGAUUUGUCACUUAUACUAGAGAGGUUCUGCUAUACGUGAAAUGUAGAGAAAUCACGUAGAGAGCAGGUGUCUGGGUUAGAGUCUACGGCUUUGCGUGUUUUGGCAGUCCAGAUUUCUACGCGGAGAUGAGGUGCUCUAGUCGUUGUGGCACAUGCAGAGAAAAUGCGUACGGAUUUGCUGGGUAUCGAUCAACUGCAUGCAGAAAACUGCCAAAUAUGGAAGGGAAAAUUCCCAGUACACAUUCCACGUGACUUCUCUACGUGAAACGUAGAGCAGAACAGGAUUUCUUGACGUUACCUCCCUACUGAUGUUCAGUUCCCAAAACGUAGAGCAGAACCUCCCUAC